UCCAAGAUUAGAUUAAAUUUUUCUUUUUUAUUUAUUUUAUUUAAAACCAAAAAAUAUAGAUAUUAUCCUUUUAUUAUUAAUUUUUCUUUUUUAUUAAAUCCCAAAAUUGUCCAAAGUCCCAAAAAUGUCCAUGAGUCCCAAGAACAGUCCAGGUUCAUGCGUAACAAAUCACAAACCAUCAUCCUCAUCCUCAUCCAGUCUGUUACGCGCCUAUCUCCGUCUCAAUCUCCUAAAAUCUGCAAUUUUUGUAACAAAUCCUUGUCCCCAAACAGCACUAUAAAUACAUAACCUGCAUAACAAAGAAAAAGACAGCAGAACGCAGCAGAACAUACGAAAAAACAGAAAGAAACAGCAGAGAAGCCAAGACAACAACAACAGCACACACACACGCCACAACAGCACACACACGCAC
rnacentral:lncRNA from 1 species